UGAUGAAGAUGAGCAGGAGCCCUCUUCACAUCCAAAAAAGCGUCCAGCCAGUAAUCUGGAGCUGCCACUGCCCCCCACACCCCCACCUCUACCCCAGACUGUGACUAUGACUGAGACUCCACCACUGCAGAUGAUGACACCCAUGUCUUCAAUACGAAAUUUUCAAAGACCAUCCUCUUCUCAAACAGAUAUUGAAACCACAUCGAGAGCAGCUUUUCAAAGGAAAGUAUUUGAGUGCUUUGAGGAACUAAAAAUGCAAAUAGCACAAAACACUCGACUUCUCAAUACCGUCAUCCCUGCUGGAUCAAGAGAAGAAGAAUUUCAACUGCCAGAAGAUGUCCAGAUUCCUCUUAGUACAAUGGUGGCAGUGGACAACCUGGAAAAGAAACUAGAAGCAGAAUCAUUCUGCAAAGAUCUAGUUGGCAUGCUUUCCGUAAUUGGAGGUGGAAACCUCAAAGCUACUACCUGGAGGCUGAUGAGCAUCACAAUAUCCAAUGAUUUAGCUGUACAGUUCAACUGGGUUGGACGAGGUGUCAAAAGAGCUUU